rnacentral:lncRNA from 1 species
UCAACUCUAACCCUCCCGUUUGAAUGUUUUGGGGUUAAAUUAGUUAAAUCUAACCAACUCUAACUCUAACUCAUGAAUCCAUACAUGGCCAAAGGAAUCCACACAUUAGUACAAGUGCAAAAUUCCCAAAGUUUGAUUGGGCGAUUUUUAACGUGAAGACUAGAAUAAGAAAUAGUGCACCCAGCAAGAAGCGAUAUGAUCUGCUAGCAGCUUCCCUCACGUCGAUCAUGUAAAGGCUCAUUUCACUACUCGAUGGAGGACUACAACCUCACGUGAAGACAAAAAAGUGACCCAGUUCGGAUGGGAGUUAGGUAAGGAAAGAGGAGUUUGACCACGACACGGAGACGAAUAUGACCGCGGCCUCACCUCGAGCUGGCCUCGCCCCCGCGGUCGUGACUGCCUUCUUCCGCGCAACUCACCUUGCCGUUGUGGUUUCGCCUCUGGUCGCCAGCCCCGUGCUACGCGCUCCGCGCUCCCCGCGGCCGUGACUGCCUUCUUCGGUGCAACUCACCUUGCCAUUGUGGUUUUGCCUCUGCUCGCCAGCCCCAUGCUCCGCGCUCCACGUCACCUCGUUCAACAGCAGCACGCGCCAUGAGCCGCCAGCUCCGUGCCGCUACGAGCUGCUGUCAAGCCUGCUCUAAUCUCACAUGCAAACGUUUAGCUUCAGUUUUCUGUUCAAUAACGUAGGAGUAGGAGUAGAG